AGCGAACGCUGGCGGCAUGCUUAACACAUGUAAGUCGCACGGGCAGUAAUGUCAGUGGCGGACGGGUGAGUAACGCGUAGGAACGUGUCUAGAGGUGGGGGACAACCCUGGGAAACUGGGGCUAAUACCGCAUAUGGGCUGAGGCCCAAAGCAGUGAUGCGCCUUUUGGAGCGGCCUGCGUCCGAUUAGGUAGUUGGUGGGGUAAAGGCCUACCAAGCCUGCGAUCGGUAGCUGGUCUGAGAGGACGAUCAGCCACACUGGGACUGAGACACGGCCCAGACUCCUACGGGAGGCAGCAGUCGAGAAUAGUCUACAAUGGUCGGAAGACUGAUAGUGCGACGCCGCGUGAACGAUGAAUCCCUUCGGGGUGUAAAGUUCUUUUAUAUGUGAGCAGUGCUUCUUAUAUUAACAGUAUGGGGAAGAGAUAUUAGCAUAUGAAUAAGCAACGGCUAACUCCGUGCCAGCAGCCGCGGUAAUCUCG
rnacentral:rRNA from 1 species